UGGGGAAUAUUGCACAAUGGGCGAAAGCCUGAUGCAGCAACGCCGCGUGAGCGAUGAAGGCCUUUGGGUCGUAAAGCUCUGUCCUUGGGGAAGAAACAAAUGACGGUACCCAAGGAGGAAGCCCCGGCUAACUACGUGCCAGCAGCCGCGGUAAUACGUAGGGGGCGAGCGUUAUCCGGAAUUAUUGGGCGUAAAGAGUAUGUAGGUGGCUUUGUAAGCGCGGGGUGAAAGGCAAUAGCUUAACUAUUGUAAGCCUUGCGAACUGCAGAGCUUGAGUGCAGGAGAGGAAAGCGGAAUUCCUAGUGUAGCGGUGAAAUGCGUAGAUAUUAGGAGGAACACCGGUGGCGAAGGCGGCUUUCUGGACUGUAACUGACACUGAGAUACGAAAGCGUGGGGAGCAAACA
rnacentral:rRNA from 1 species